CAGUAGCCGCGGUAAUACGAAGGGGGCUAGCGUUGCUCGGAAUGACUGGGCGUAAAGGGCGCGUAGGCGGCAUACACAGUCAGAUGUGAAAUUCCUGGGCUUAACCUGGGGGCUGCAUUUGAUACGUGUAGGCUAGAGUGGGGAAGAGGGUUGUGGAAUUCCCAGUGUAGAGGUGAAAUUCGUAGAUAUUGGGAAGAACACCGGUGGCGAAGGCGGCAACCUGGUCCUUGACUGACGCUGAGGCGCGAAAGCCAGGGGAGCAAACGGGAUUAGAUACCCCUGUAGUCCCUGUCUCUUAUAC
rnacentral:rRNA from 1 species